rnacentral:rRNA from 1 species
UACGUAGGCAGCGAGCGUUGUUCGGAGUUACUGGGCGUAAAGGGUGUGUAGGCGGUUCUCUAAGUUUGGUGUGAAAUCUCCCGGCUCAACUGGGAGGGUGCGCCGAAAACUGGAGGGCUAGAGUACGGGAUGGGAGAGUAGAAUUCCUGGUGUAGCGGUGAAAUGCGUAGAUAUCAGGAGGAAUACCGGUGGUGUAGACGGCUCUCUGGACCGUAACUGACGCUGAGACACGAAAGCGUGGGUAGCAAACAGG